UAUGUUAAAGUCUCCCUCAUAUGUGACGGUCGAAGACUGAAGAAGCGGAAGACAACCACCAAGAAGAACACACUCAACCCCAUCUAUAAUGAGGCCAUCAUUUUCGACAUCCCACCUGAGAACGUGGAGCAGGUCAGCCUGUCAAUCACAGUGAUGGAUUACGACAGAGUUGGACACAAUGAAGUGAUAGGGGUGUGCAGGACAGGGCCGGAUGCGGAGGGUCUUGGAAGGGACCACUGGAACGAAAUGCUAGCUUAUCCACGCAAGCCCAUCACCCACUGGCAUGCACUUUGUGAGUGGCCAGGAAGAGCAUCCAGUUUUGAGAGUCAAGGAUCAUGUCCAUCCCCAAAACCCCCACUGACCCCAUAAUAUCCUGGAAUCCACACAAUCCUAACUGCAAAACACAUUUGGUUUGUAUAAUUAAUACGGUAUAUUUUUCUCUAGUCGUAGCCUGUAAUGUUGCAU